ensembl:lncRNA
CACCACACUACACCACACCACACCACACUACACCACACCACACUACACUACACUACACUACACCCCACUACACCACACCACACCACACUACACCACACCACACCCCACUACACCACACCACACUACACCACACUACACCACACUGCACUACACCACACUACACCACACUACACCACACCACACCCCACUACACCACACCACACUACACCACACUACACCACACUGCACUACACCACACUACACCACACUACACCACACCACACCACACUACACUACACUACACUACACCCCACUACACCACACCACACCACACCACACUACACCACACCACACCCCACUACACCACACCACACUACACCACACUACACCACACUACACUACACCACACCCCACUACACCACACCACACCACACUACACUACACCCCACUACACCACACCACACCACACCACACUACACUACACCAAACCCCACUACACCACACCACACCACACCCCACUACACCACACCACACCACACCACACUACACCACACCACACCCCACUACACCACACCACACUACACUACCUACCCUACAUUACACCACACCACAUCACUUCACUACCCUGCCCUAAAUUACACCACACCACACACACCACACCACACUACACUACCCCCCACUACACCACACUACACCACACCACACCACACUACACCACACCACACUACACCACACCACACCACACUACACCACACCACACCACAUCACACCACACCACACCACACUACACCACACUACACCACACCACACCACAUUACACCACAUUACACCACACCACACUACACCACACUACACCACACCACAUCAUAUUACACCACACCACACUACACCACACUACACCACACCACACCACACUACACCCCACCACACCACACCACACCACACCACACCACACUACACCACACCACACCACACCCCACUACACCACACCACACUACCCCCACUACACCACACUACCCCCCACUACACCACACCACACUACACCACACCACACCACACCACACCACACUACACCACACCACAUCACACCACACCACACCACACCACACCACACCACACCACAUUACACCACACCCCACUACACCACAUCACAUUACACCACAUUACACCACACUACACCACACCUCAUCACAUUACACCACAUUACACCACAUUACACCACAUUACACCACACUACACCACACCACAUCACACUACACCACAUCACACCCCAAUACACCACACUACACCACACCACACCACAUUACACCACAUUACACUACACCACACCACAUCACAUUACACCACACUACACUACACUACACCACACUACACCACAUCACACUACACUACACUACACCACAUCACACUACAUUACACCACACCACACCACACCACACUACACUACAUCACAUUACACCACACUACACCACACUACACCACACUACACUACAUGACAUUACACCACACUACACCACACCACACCACACCACAUAACACCACACCACAUCACAUUACACCCCACUACACCACAUCACAUUACACCCCACUACACCAC